UCAAAUCUCAAUGGAUUGGCUUAGUCCCGCUGAUACUCGACUUGAAGAAAAAAAAACAAAAAAACAAACAACUCACCGGCAUAACCAUCUUCUAUCACUCCCUCGAUACCACCACUGUAGUCUUUUCUCUAUCUCUCUCUGUAACGUCGUCCGAUUCUUCUCCAGCCAGCAAAGUCCGUCUUCACCAAUCGACCAACUCCAAGCCCAAUCACGAAUGAAAUUAACUCAUCCCCUGAUGAUUCCAGAGAAGGGGGAAAGAUACUCAUAAAGAUAUCAUUAUUCGCAACACCACCUUACCAACACCCUCGAUUCGAUGCAAUUCAAUCCCAACUCCUUCAGUUGAUCAACGAUUCGAUGUAAGUGGAAGAAGAGGGAAGAGUUCAGUAGAUCAACGCCAAUACAAAUCCUACAUCUACAGAUUAUACACCACCUUCAUUAGAUACCUAACGUUUCAAGUUUCUUAAUCAAUGGCACCAAAAAAGGUGAAAUCUGGUGGUGCGAAACAAAAGAAGAAGGUCUAUCGCUAGUACCUAUCACUAUCAUCUUCUGCUAAAUGAUUGGUUUCUCCUGCUAGUUACAUUUCUAUUGUGUCUGUUUACGAUUGUCUGUAGUAUACUAGUAUGUCAAUUCACUAGUAACUAGAUAAGAAAAAGUUAUAUUCAAUAGACUACGAUUCAUAAGUUAGCCAAUUCCUUUGUCAUGGCAAUAUAAGGUCUUUUUUUUUAACCCACAGAGACCUCACUCUUGGGCAGUAAAGGAGCCAUUUUACCUGCUCACAGCAUUUACGGAACUGCAUAAACAUAUACCCAUAGGCUGUAUAGCCAAGACUCAUAAUAAUUUUGCAGGAUGGUUUGCGCCUCAGCAACCAGCGAAGUGCUUUUACUACUGUAACUCGGUUUAUAGUUACAGAUAUUUAUCACCUGCAUACAGAAAUGAUCAUUUCGUCUUUAUAGAUACAACCUCCACGCCAAAGAACGUGGGAUUGACACGGGGGCUUGCACUAGAUGUAUGGAUGAAUGCUAACAAAGGAAAACUGGUUGUUAUGUUCUCAGAAUUAAAUGGAGAGCCGCUAUUCGAGAAUGGUCCCAAACUUGUAAAUGAGUGUGUGGUAAUAGUUUGUUCUAUAGAAGCACUCAGGUACAAGUCUUGGAGUGAAAAACAAGUCCUUGAUAGGGAUUCCUUGAUUUACAGGGUCAAGUGAUGCAUAUAUAUCAUCUGUUUUUUUGCCUGUAGAUUAGUGUAUUAAACCUUAAAGUUGAACAUUGAUUUGGUUUAAAUUUUCAGAAUGAGUUCAUCUGGACACUUCUCUACAGAUGUUAAAGAAGUUUUUAGAGGAAUCAAUUGGUAAGUAUACAAUACCAAUAAAGUUGUCGUGGGCACGAUUAAGCGCAAACUCAAUAUUCUAUAUUACCUAAUUGAAACACCAAUUUGAUUGUUAUUUUC